GGGCUCUUAGCUCAGUUGGUAGAGCAGCGGACUCUUAAUCCGUUUGUCGUAGGUUCGAUCCCUACAGGGCCCA
rfam:Lampropedia hyalina DSM 16112 genome assembly, contig: EK00DRAFT_scaffold00035.35